rnacentral:lncRNA from 1 species
CAAGGAAUGUCUCACCUGAGGGGUGCCAGGGAACUGAGCUGCUAAUUCUGUUGUACUUCCACUUUUCCUUGCUCCAAUGGGAGCAAGCCCAGGGGUGUCCUGAGCCUUGUUGCAGGGAUCCUGCAGCUCUUCCAGCACGUGAAUCCCUUUGGGAACUCCCUGACAUUCCAGGAGCUCUGGUGUCACUCAUACCGUAUUUUCCUCUGUUUGCUCCUGCUCAGCUGCUCUUUCCCAGCCGUGCUGCUGGGGGCACUGGAGGAUCAUGCAUCCCACACCCUCCCUCCCUGGAAUGUUUCCCUUCCCUUGUGUCAAUAUUUGGCGCUCUUUCCUUUCACUUUUGAAAAGUUUCUGAACUAAGCCCAGCCCCAUCCCUGCUCCCAGUUAAAGGGGGAAAUAAUUUCUGCCUUCUUCCUUUGGGGAUGUUCAUGCUUCCCUGUGAAAAAUUCUAGGAAGAGUUGCUUGGUGGAUGCAUCCCAAAUUGUUGUCCCUGCACCUGGCUGGAAGGGUCUUUUCCUUUCCAGAGACCCUGGUUCAUGUUCCUUGUUUACUGGGAAUCCCCCCAGGAUGUGCCUGGGGAAUCCUCCUGGGCUGCUGUUUGAGGGAAUAGUGUGAUAUAAAUAGUUCCUGCUUUAUUUUUAUGGAGUUGAUAGUUCCUAUUUUUCCAGCCUUUCCAUGCUGUCCAUUCCUGGUGUGUCUGUAACUGCAAUGGCUCCUUAUCUCUCAUUCCUGGACUUUGGAACUGCUGAUAUGGCUCUAUCCCAGGGCUUGGGAGGGGCCUAGCUCCAGAAUUCCUCUGCUUGGCUUUGGCACAGCCAAAUCCUUUGGGUUUUGCCACAAAUAGAGCUCAGAAUGGUCAAAACCAGUCCAUGUGCUCAG